UUAACAGGAGAAAAGCAUAAAAGUUUAUUUAAUAUUUUGAUGUGUACACGGGAGUCUUCUGAAGGAAAAUUAAGACCUGAAUACUUCCCUGUUUUUGUUACCUAUAACCAAAUUAUUUUGAUAACCAGUGCAUCACCCUGUCCUUAGCAAUAAAAAAAAGCAGCCGGGCCGGCCCCGUGGCCAAGUGGUUAAAGUUCUGUGCACUCCGCUUUGGCGGCCUGGGUUCACAGUUUCCAAUCCUGAGUUUAGACCGACUCUACUCAUCAGCCAUGCUGUUGGGGCAUCCCACAUAUGAAGUAGAGGAAGAUUGGCACAGAUGUUAGCUCAGGGCCAAUCUUCCUCACCAAAAAAAAAGUAUGUAUAUUUCAAGUGGAAGCGUCAUCCUGUGGGUUAAAAAAUAGAGGUAAAGGUUUGUUUCUGACCAGCAGAUACCUUGUGGUGGGAACAGCGAACAAGAGGUGGGUAUGCAGCCCCUUUCACAGCCUGUACCUGAUUUUUGACUUCCAUUGUAAAACUGGUGUUAUAAGCCGUAGAAGUAAAUGCUAUUUUUUCCUAACCCUUCUCACUAAACUGUGUAUGUAUAAAAUAUUAGAUCACAAAGGACAAAAACACUUCUGAAAUUAAAAUAUUGGUCCCUAAAUGAGGUCAGCCCUGUGGCCUAGUGAUUAAGUUGGGUGCACUCUGCUUUGGCAGCCUGAGUUUGGUUCCUGGGUAAGGACCUGUACCACUCCUCAGGGGCCAUGCUGUGGCAGCAGCUCACAUACAAAACAGAGGAAAGAUUGGCACAGAUGUUAGCUCAGGGUGAAUCUUCCUCAGGAAAAAAAAAAAAAAUAUAUAUAUAUAUAUAUAUAUAUAUAUAUAUAAGGCCAGCCCAGUGGUGUAGUGGUUAAUUUCAUGCUCUCUGCUUCAGCAGCCCAGGGUUCAUAGGUUUGGAUCCUGGGCACAGACCUGGCACUACUGGUCAAGCCACACUGUGGCAGCAUCCCACAUAGACUAGAGGAAGGUUGGCACAGAUGUUAGCUCAAUGACAAUCUUCCUCAAGCAAAAAGAGGAACAUUGGCAACAAAUGUUAGCUCGGGGCCAAUCUUCCUCACACACACACACAAAAGAUACUUUCUCCUACAUUUUGUGAUUUUUUGAAAAUUCAGUUUAUAUAACUGUUCUAAUGUAAAUAUUCCCUUUAAAAGCCCUGUGUCUUUAGAUGUUCUUAAAUAUUUAUUCAUCCGAGAGCUUCAGUUCAAGCUGUUAGUGGCUAUUGAUGUUUUGAUUUAGUGCCCUUUGCAAGUCCUUUAAUAGUCCAGCUGCCAUCUUUCUAAACAUUGAUGGUAAGAAGAGUAAUUUACUGAAAAUAACAAGGGUUUUAGAGGAAGACCUGGUUCAAAUCCAAGCUUUGCCACGUAUUAGGAAAUUGCUUAAUGUCUCUGGAAAAUAGAGAUAAUGACUCACAUGUAGUCACGAGGGUGAGGUUCAGCUGCAAGUGAGAGCAGAUGCCCCGGACAGUGGCUUCAGCAGGUGGAGGGUCACUUCUCUCUCAGGUCAAAUCUUAGGCAGGUGGCUCAAGGCAGGUACGAUGCUCUACGGGUGUUUGAGGCAGACUCCUUCUACCAGGUUCUCUGCUGAGCGUUACCCAGUUGGCCUCAACGGUCCAAGCUCGCUGCUUCAGCUCCUGCCUUCUCUUCUGCACCUUGGCUAGACAGAAGGAGAAAAAAGGCCAGGUUCCAGAAGCUGCGCACACUAGCUGUAAGAGGAACUGAACAUUGUGGUUUUCACAGCCACAUACCCAGCAAAAAAACAGGGAUUCUGUUGCUAGAAAAGAAAAGGAAUACAGAAAUUGGGGAGAACUCAUUUAGAUUAUAUUUGUAACAUAGCAGCUACAGUGCUAUACAAAGACAGUCGCAAAACACUAAUGAUUAUUAUCAUCACUGUAUG
rnacentral:lncRNA from 1 species